GGUGUGAUCAUUUACUUAAAUGUACAACUUAGAUGUGCUAUAAUUUAGGCUGAAUCCUGUGCUCAGUUUUGGUCGGUGUGCACCUUUUAUUUAAUAUACACAUCACACAAACACACAGACGGGCUGCCGUGCCACAGCUCUCUACCUUGCCAGGAUCAUGACCUGAUUCAUGCACAGUGAAAUCUAUAGCAGGGGAAUAAACCUUAAAAACCAACUUUGCAUUUACUUUUUAAAACUUAAAAAAGUCAGCUAUCUGUCAUAUGAAAACAAAUUAAAUCAAAUGGAUCAAAAUGUGUAUUUUAAACCCUGUUUUUUUGACGUUUAUGACAAUAACAAUUAGUGCUAUUCAUCUGUUAUGGUUAGCAAUUUGUUCACCGACUGAACUGGGAUGCUUGUCACACUUCUGGUCUACAGUGCAGCAGUCUGGGGCUCAUAAACUCUGUUGGGCUCUCAGGGAUAUCCACUACAACAAGGACUUAUUAUUUUACUCAUGAUUGACUCCUGAGUUUUUGCUCCAUUAUCUCCAAACCUACAGUUUGUAAAAAAAGAAGAAAGAAACGAACAAAAAAAUGUAAAAAAAAAUGUAAAAGAAAAUAAAUAAAUGUAGUUGAAUGCAGUUGAUUAUUACAGGCUCUCCCUCCUUUGCAUUAUUACACAGUCAGCGCCACGCUGCUAACAAUCAGUAAUGAUUUGUUCAAAAGAAGAAGAAAAAGACUGGCUUACUCUGAUCAUAAAUUGAAAGCAUGCAUGUUUUUAAAAACACCAUCUCUCUUGAAUUUCGUGCUGAUGUACACUAAUUUGUGCCUGCAGUCCUGAAAAUGACUAAACAAAUAUUUUGGGGGUUAAAAAAAAUCUCUCGUAAUUGCAUCUCGCUAGUGACUGUGAGGACGACUUUUAAAGGCUACUGUAUUGGACUAGUGUGUGUGUGACAGAGAGGGAGAGAUCGGUGAAGACUAUAAACAGCAAUCUUAUUUUCUUGAGCUCUGUAAAUCAUUGCAGACAAAUUGAAGCUAUAAUUUCUCUUGCCAGUCACC
ensembl:lncRNA